GACGAACGCUGGCGGCGUGCUUAACACAUGCAAGUCGAACGGAAAGGCCCUGCUUGCAGGGUACUCGAGUGGCGAACGGGUGAGUAACACGUGGGUGAUCUGCCCUGCACUUCGGGAUAAGCCUGGGAAACUGGGUCUAAUACCGGAUAGGGGCCAUUUUUAGUGUGAUGGUUGGAAAGUUUUUUCGGUGUAGGAUGAGCUCGCGGCCUAUCAGCUUGUUGGUGGGGUAAUGGCCUACCAAGGCGGCGACGGGUAGCCGGCCUGAGAGGGUGGACGGCCACAUUGGGACUGAGAUACGGCCCAGACUCCUACGGGAGGCAGCGGUGGGGAAUAUUGCACAAUGGGCGCAAGCCUGAUGCAGCGACGCCGCGUGGGGGAUGACGGCCUUCGGGUUGUAAACUCCUUUCGCUAGGGACGAAGCUUUUUGUGACGGUACCUAGAUAAGAAGCACCGGCUAACUACGUG
rnacentral:rRNA from 1 species